rnacentral:rRNA from 1 species
CAUGCAAGUCGAGCGAGAAAUUUUGAAAAGAUACUUCGGUUGAUUUUCAGGAUGGACAGCGGCGAAAGGGAGAGUAACGAGUAGAUACGUACCCAAGGGUCUGGGAUAGCCAUGCGAAAGCGUGAGUAAUACCGGAUAAUGUCUCCGGACCAAAGAUUUAUUGCCCUUGGAGCGGUUUGCUUACUAUUAGUUUGUUGGUGGGGUAAUGGCCUACCAAGGCAAAGAUGGUUAGCGGGUGUGAGAGCAUGGCCCGUCUCACUGGGACUGAGAUACUGCCCAGACACCUACGGGUGGCUGCAGUCGAGAAUCUUCCGCAAUGGGCGAAAGCCUGACGGAGCGACGCCGCGUGUUGGACGAAGGCCCUCGGGUUGUAAACAACUGUCGUAGGGGAGGAAAUUUUGACCGAUCCUAGGGGGAAGCACAGGCUAAGUUCGUGCCAGCAACCGCGGUAAUACGAACUGUGCAAACGUUAUUCGGAGUCACUGGGCNUUAAGGGUGCGUAGGCGGAUAGGUAGGUCAGAUGUGAAAUCCCACGGCUCACCGUGGAAAUUGCGUUUGAAACCAUUUGUCUUGAGGGGAUCAAAGGAAACCGAAACUGAUGGUGGAACCG